ensembl:lncRNA
UGACACUACAGCAGAGUCAUUUAGAAACCUAAGCAACCCAGCCCUCAUGGGAUCACAUGACUUCACCUCAUGGGAUCACAUGACCACCCCUCAGUGGACAUGACCGUGAGACUGUCAGACUGUGGUCUGUAAAAGCUGAAGAGGGUUCAAGUCAGCAGCGAGCCACAGAAGUCCAAGUCAGAGGAAGCGUCGACUGUGGUGAUAUUUCUGUUUCCAGCUGAAAUUGGAAACAGGAGCAGAGAAGAAAGUCUGCUGAUGUUUAGAAAGUACACAGCAGAGGCUGUAUGAAGGAGUAAGAUACAUUUACCUCACAGAUAUGAAUCUGCAGAGCGCAAUGAGGCGGAACUGUUUAUUAUAACUUAUUCAUGGCGAGGAAGCAGCUGCAUGCAAAGACAAAUGUCAGCCAGUGGGUUUCACUUUCCACUGUCUCUGCUGUCCCUCCCCGCAGCACGCAUUCACACAAGUUCUUAUUAUCCAGAAGGGUGGGGGGGCGGCGUUUUGACUCACGGCCAGGCUGUAAACGCCCCCCCACCCACACUUGAUGCAAGUCCACUGGAAACGAAAGGCCCUCGUGAAGCACAUCACCACGCACCUCUGUAAUUGGGCCGCUAUUUCGUGACAACGCGUCCGCACACACAUGGGCCCCCACUUCCGACUUCACACCGGCGGGGAGCGCACACCCAUCCCCCCCCCAACACCCGACCGACAGUGUCUUCUUUCCGCCACCCCGGUGGGGGAGGCAUGUGAUUCUUGGCUCCGGCUCAGAACUCCAGGUGCAUUGCGACACAUUCUCCCGCCACUAAUGGCUCCUUGAGCGUAAAAAAAGAGAAAAGCUCCUGUCCCACUGACAUUUAUGCAGAGCAACAAGCAGCGGCGCAUGUGCGUGAUAAUUAGGACGCGGGCUCCGCGGAGCCUCUCCGCGGCUCCUUCGGUCUCUCGGUUAUGUGCCCGCCGGGGGAGUUUUAUUUUUAGCUCCUUGGUCUUUGAUUAAAAUAUGACUCUCUUGUUGACCUUCACACCUGCCGCAGCGCUGCCAAGUCCACUGCAACACGAGCACUUGAUAAAUAAAGAGCUGUCACCGGAACCGCUGACAAGACACAAUCAAUUCUCCCCGUGCUGGGGCCCUUCCCCUGGUCCCCGUGAGCGCUGCUAGGGGGGAAGGGACCCAUCCUUCCCUGCCAAUGUUUCUCCAUUUUACGUAAUGGCUUGUGUGUGUAACCAGC